rnacentral:rRNA from 1 species
GAUGAACGCUGGCGGCGUGCCUAAUACAUGCAAGUCGAGCGAACAGACGAGGAGCUUACCCCUCUGACGUUAGCGGCGGACGGGUGAGUAACACGUGGAUAACCUACCUAUAAGACUGGGAUAACUUCGGGAAACCGGAGCUAAUACCGGAUAACAUGUUGAACCGCAUGGUUCAACAGUGAAAGACGGUCUUGCUGUCACUUAUAGAUGGAUCCGCGUCACAUUAGCUAGUUGGUAAGGUAACGGCUUACCAAGGCAACGAUGCGUAGCCGACCUGAGAGGGUGAUCGGCCACACUGGAACUGAGACACGGUCCAGACUCCUACGGGAGGCAGCAGUAGGGAAUCUUCCGCAAUGGGCGAAAGCCUGACGGAGCAACGCCGCGUGAGUGAAGAAGGUCUUCGGAUCGUAAAACUCUGUUAUUAGGGAAGAACAAAUGUGUAAGUAACUAUGCACGUCUUGACGGUACCUAAUCAGAAAGCCACGGCUAACUACGUG